rnacentral:rRNA from 1 species
GAUGAACGCUGGCGGCGUGCCUAAUACAUGCAAGUAGAACGCUGAAGCUUGGUGCUUGCCCCGAGCGGAUGAGUUGCGAACGGGUGAGUAACGCGUAGGUAACCUGCCUCUUAGCGGGGGAUAACUAUUGGAAACGAUAGCUAAUACCGCAUAAAAGUCGACAUCGCAUGAUGUUGACUUGAAAGGUGCAAUUGCAUCACUAAGAGAUGGACCUGCGUUGUAUUAGCUAGUUGGUGAGGUAACGGCUCACCAAGGCGACGAUACAUAGCCGGCCUGAGAGGGGGGACGGCCACACUGGGACUGGGACACGGCCCAGAAUCCUACGGGGGGGAGCAGGAGGGAAUCUUCGGCAAUGGGGGCAACCCUGACCGGGCAACGCCGCGGGAGUGAAGGAGGGUUUCGGGUCGUAAAGCUCUGUUGUAAGGGAAGAACGAGUGUGAGAGUGGAAAGUUCACACUGUGACGGUAACUUACCAGAAAGGGACGGCUAACUACGUG